rnacentral:rRNA from 1 species
AAGGUGGUACCACUCCUUCCCAUCCCGAACAGGACAGUGAAACGCCUUUGCGCCGAUGAUAGUGGACGGACGUCUGUGAAAGUAGGUCAUCGUCAAGC